AUGAAGGUAAACCAGGAUCCCGGUUUUAACCCUGCAACACACCAGUCUCCUGAUCUUGAGUAUUUGAGCCCAAGUGGUGGAGGAAGGAGAAUGUGGAUUCUGGAAUUAGGAAGACUUGGGUUCAAUGUCACCUUCUACCAUUUAACAACUGCUGAGGUUAGUUUCCUAUACUCUUUGAGUCCCAGACCCUUAUCUCUAAAAUUGAGAAUAAUAAUAUCUACCUCACAGGAUUAUUAAGAAUGCUAAUUGAGAUUAAAUAUGUAAAGUACAUGGCACAAAAUGCUCAAUAAAUAUUAGUACUAUUUAAUUUAGCCUAAGGGUCUUGCUAGGAUUUUAGAGAUGCUUUCCUGCCUCUUACUGGCUCUAUUGUUUACAUAAUUAUCUCUUUAUUUUUCCUUUUCUCUAAAAUUUUAUUAAUAUUUCAGUAAAUCUUUCUUAUAUUGAGAACAAUUUCUUAUAUAAAGUGGAACAUAUUGGGGGGAACUUUUCAGUAGCCACCUCAUAGGCUAAAGAAACAAAAAAGAUAGAUGUUUUACAUGUUUUUAUUCUGUUGAUGAGCCCCUGAGAAGAUUGUUCCGGGUUCUGACACAGUCUCAUCCAGGACCAAGAUGGUUUUCUUCACUUUCCAACCCAGUGAUCUUUUAGUUUUAAUGUAAGUAAAUCUAAGCAUUGAAGUACAGCAUUUCCAACAUAAUCGUUUUUGUACAUUUAAUAUUUUAGCUCAUGCAGAAAGGGGAGUUUCUGGAAAACCAUGCCUAAAGUGACCAUCUAUUGUAAUCCUUGGAGAGUGUAACAAUAAAAAUUGUGUUGAACAUUUAUGUAAAGCUUCUGGAAGGAGACAGGAAAGACAUCCUUAACCAACUUAAUAGAACUUUCACUUUUAAGGAACUGCAGUGCAGGUGAUUAGUAAAAAUGGGCCCUGAUACAAAGUCAGCUUAGGGUCCACUGGAUACUGCAACAAAGGACUUUUAUUGUUUCUUCUUGAGUAGGGAAACAGAUUUCCCUAAUCAAAGACCAGAUUCUUUCUUAGCAGUAAGGGAAAGAAAGUAGGUAAUACUUUUU
rnacentral:lncRNA from 1 species